rfam:Candidatus Cloacamonas acidaminovorans str. Evry provisional genome sequence from WWE1 candidate division
GGGGGUGAAAUGGUUUCGACAGGGAAUCAGAGUGCUCGAAAUGCAUACCGGAGAUUGUUAUACCACUCCGUUAACAAGUAACAAACUGCAAAUUAACUGCAAACAACAAUUACGCUUUAGCAGCAUAAGCUGUUAACGUUCAACUUCUUCGGUCCGUCGGAAGGAGAUUGGGCGUCGGAACAGUACGGAUGCGGUAGAACUAAUUGCUGAUAGGUUUUACCUAAGUUUAAUCGGCUGCGGGAAAGCAGGUCUGAUUGUCUUUCACUGCUUUUCUUAAGAUAAAGACAACUAAGUAUGUAGAUUUUCGGGUGAUCGGUUUUCUGGACGCGGGUUCGAUUCCCGCCACCUCCACCA